UACGUAGGGUGCGAGCGUUAAUCGGAAUUACUGGGCGUAAAGCGUGCGCAGGCGGCUUUGCAAGACAGAGGUGAAAUCCCCGGGCUCAACCUGGGAACUGCCUUUGUGACUGCAAGGCUAGAGUACGGCAGAGGGAGAUGGAAUUCCGCGUGUAGCAGUGAAAUGCGUAGAUAUGCGGAGGAACACCGAUGGCGAAGGCAAUCCCCUGGGCCUGCACUGACGCUCAUGCACGAAAGCGUGGGGAGCAAACAGG
rnacentral:rRNA from 1 species